rnacentral:rRNA from 1 species
UACGAAGGGUGCUAGCGUUGUUCGGAAUCACUGGGCGUAAAGCGCGCGUAGGCGGCGACUCAAGUCAGAGGUGAAGGCCCGUGGCUCAACCACGGAAUUGCCUUUGAAACUGUGUUGCUAGAGUGUCGGAGGGGAUAGCGGAAUUGCUAAUGUAGAGGUGAAAUUCGUAGAUAUUAGCAGGAACACCGGUGGCGAAGGCGGCUAUCUGGACGACAACUGACGCUGAGGCGCGAAAGCGUGGGGAUCAAACAGG